rnacentral:rRNA from 1 species
UACGAAGGGGGCUAGCGUUGCUCGGAAUCACUGGGCGUAAAGCGCACGUAGGCGGGUUGCUAAGUCAGGGGUGAAAUCCUGGAGCUCAACUCCAGAACUGCCCUUGAUACUGGCGGCCUUGAGUCCGGGAGAGGUGAGUGGAACUGCCGAGUGUAGAGGUGAAAUUCGUAGAUAUUCGCAAGAACACCAGUGGCGAAGGCGGCUCACCUGGCCCGGUACUGACGCUGAGGUGCGAAAGCUAGGGGAGCAAACAGG